CACUGAAGAAAUAACACUUUACUACAAUUUAAGUAGUGAGUGUACUGCUUGUAUAACAGUGUAAAUUUAUUUAACACUAGAACAGGUAGUAAUAAUAAUUGCAGAUUUUCAAGUUUAGUUAUGAUUAUAUUUGCUAAUGAUUAUUUCAGAUGGCGGUGUGUGGUUGCCUUUCGUAGCAUUGCACAUUUUUAUUUUAUUUGUAUUAUCCAGUGUAGUUUAGAGUUGUUUUUAUGGUGUUAAUUUUUCAGAGUUAAAAAGUUUUGAUUCUGGUGUUGAUUUGAGUGGCAUCAACACUUCCAGAGUGAAUUAGUGGUCGGAGUCAGUGUAAUUACAGCGAGUUGACAUAAUUGACACUGGUGAUGAGUUGAUCUGAUUUCCGGUUCUUGCACAUCAUUUCCUUUUUGAUUAAUGGCGGAUGACCACGAGGAGAGGAGAGUUCAAACAGACCAUCGAUAGGAUCUCGCGGCCGUUUUGCUAGUUCGCUGGCAAACUGAGAGUUUUCACCGACAAGAACCUCAACCCCCAGCACAUGCAACGACACUCUUUCACACUCUUCAACUGACCAUGAAGAACCCGAGAGCGCAGUGGAAAAUCAAACAGCAAUGGUCAGCAACCGUUUUAACAUAGACGCUGAACAGGCAAAAUGGGAGGAUCCCCACCCGCAAACAGCGGGAAACUUAUGCUUUGGACAUUAUUUCUCUCUUUCCCUUCCUCAGCAAAGGGCUAUGUAAGAAUCGUUUGUAUUGAUGUACUUGAAACACAAGUACAUCAAUGUUAUAUGCUCCUUUUUUUGUGGCAUGUAAUAGAAGUGUCUAUUAUUAUAAAUUGUAUAUAACAUAAUGACAUUAUUUGUUCAGAUUAGUGUUCUAGUCUUUUUUGACAGGAGCAUUUCUACGAUCCGGAAAAGGGAACGGGGUUCAUCUCCUGGCGCCUUAAAACUUUGUCGAGGAAAUAUCCAAAACGUGUUCGCUUAGAGAUGACUGAAAGUAGAGGACCAAGUCGACGAAGGAGGAUAGAAGAUGUGCAACAACUUGAAGGAGAUGCAUGCAGAGAGGCAAUUUCUUUCCUUGUCCACACAGCUGAUGAAACUGAAGUAAUGCAGAAGAUGAAGGAAACUUUUAAGCAUAAACAAGAACUGGUCCAUAAUCCUGACUGAUCAGCUGACGUCCUUGAUGUUUUCCCAAGAUAUUUGGAUGUAAAAGGAUUGGUAAAUAAAACUUUUAUUCCACUUUUCAAAGAUUGUUUUAAGUGUAUUUUAGAAAUGCCUGCUUUUGUUUAAUCUUUAACAUAAUUGCUACUUUGAGUUAUAUGUUCAUAUAUUUAUCACUCUUGCUCGUACAUGCCUUUCAGACAUAGUGAUAGACUAAGAAAUCAUGAAUGUGUAUUUACUUGAAUUCUUUCAAAGUCUAUCAAAGCAUGCACACUAUCCAUUUUGGUGGUAAAGGAUAAAAAAAAGUCCCAAGUAACCUCUCACAAAUCUUGUUAAUAUGCUUUGUCAUUAGAUAAAUCAGGACUUUGCUCUGCUGUUCAAUGCUGAAACAUUGAUGAUGAUGGGGAGUAUAUUGUACCUUCCUUUGUGUUGGUGUAAUUGUUUAA